CUGUGCCCCAGCCUCCACCCUCUCAGGUCACUGCACUUACACUUACACUUACACUUACAAAGGUAAGUGCUUAAUUAGCCAUUCAGAAAUUGUAUUUGUCAUCUUUCAACGUUGAACAGUGCUAAGAUAUUAGUGAAUGAUUAUGUUAACAUUUAUACAGCCAGGACCAUCGGCAGAGGAGAUUACCCCUUUGGGCAUAAGUAACGUCACGCUGCAGGCCUGCGGUAGAGGUGGCACCUCCAGCACAACCAUGGUUAAAGACCUGUCUGUGGCUGUGUUUGGGAGACAGUUAGGACCGAGCCUAUGAACAACAGUGACGCAGGCAGCAGCACUGGACAGCCAUGCCGGCAAAGUUAAGACAGGGCGUAUAAACAACAGAGACUGACUACCACAGAAGGCAGCACUAGACAGCCAUUGCCGGCGAAGGUAACACCACAG